UCUGGUGGCAAUAGCAGAGAGGUCACACCCGUUCCCAUAUCGAACACGGAAGUUAAGUUCUCUAGCGCCAAUGGUAGUGGGGACUUUGUCCUUGUGAGAGUAGGACGUUGUCAGGC
rnacentral:rRNA from 1 species